rnacentral:lncRNA from 1 species
AACUGUCAAUCGUGUAGUGCGGUCAUGUGGUGCGGAGCCAGUGUGCGCUCUCCUCCAACUGUCCUUUGAGCCAGCGGUUUGCUGUAACCGAACCGAACCGAAACUGAAAGAAGGCACUGAAGCCGCCAAGAGUCCGAGCCAUAGCCGCAGUAACAGCCGCAGAACAAGCACGGCAGUCAGAGAAACAGAGGCACAGCAUCUCUCCGCGUUCUCACUUUAUUUUUCUUCCUG